AUUGAACGCUGGCGGCAGGCCUAACACAUGCAAGUCGAGCGGAGCGGCGGACGGGUGAGUAAUACCUAGGAAUCUGCCUGGUAGUGGGGGAUAACGUUCGGAAACGGACGCUAAUACCGCAUACUAUCAGAUGAGCCUAGGUCGGAUUAGCUAGGUGGUGAGGUAAAGGCUUACCAAGGCGACGAUCCGUAACUGGUCUGAGAGGAUGAUCAGUCACACUGGAACUGAGACACGGUCCAGCCUCCUACGGGAGGCAGCAGUGGGGAAUAUUGGACAAUGGGCGAAAGCCUGAUCCAGCCAUGCCGCGUGUGUGAAGAAGGUCUUCGGAUUGUAAAGCACUUUAAGUUGGGAGGCGUUACCAACAGAAUAAGCACCGGCUAACUCCGUGCCAGCCGCCGCGGUAAUAC
rnacentral:rRNA from 1 species